rnacentral:rRNA from 1 species
AUUGAACGCUGGCGGCAUGCCUUACACAUGCAAGUCGAACGGUAACGCGGGGCAACCUGGCGACGAGUGGCGAACGGGUGAGUAAUGUAUCGGAACGUGCCCAGUUGUGGGGGAUAACUGCUCGAAAGAGCAGCUAAUACCGCAUACGACCUGAGGGUGAAAGCGGGGGAUCGCAAGACCUCGCGCAAUUGGAGCGGCAGAGAUCAGAUUAGGUAGUUGGUGGGGUAAAGGCCCACCAAGCCAACGAUCUGUAGCUGGUCUGAGAGGACGACCAGCCACACUGGGACUGAGACACGGCCCAGACUCCUACGGGAGGCAGCAGUGGGGAAUUUUGGACAAUGGACGCAAGUCUGAUCCAGCCAUGCCGCGUGCGGGAAGAAGGCCUUCGGGUUGUAAACCGCUUUUGUCAGGGAAGAAAAGGGCGACUCUAAUACAGUUGCCUCAUGACGGUACCUGAAGAAUAAGCACCGGCUAACUACGUGCCAGCAGCCGCGGUAAGAC